rnacentral:rRNA from 1 species
UACGUAGGGUGCGAGCGUUAAUCGGAAUUACUGGGCGUAAAGUGUGCGCAGGUGGCCGCGCAAGUCGAGUGUGAAAUCCCCGAGCUUAACUUGGGAAUUGCGCUCGAAACUACGUGGCUCGAGUGUGGCAGAGGAAGGUGGAAUUCCACGUGUAGCGGUGAAAUGCGUAGAUAUCAGUCGGAACACCGGUGGCGAAGGCGGCUUCUUGGGCCGUUUCUGACGCUGAGGCGCGAAAGCCAGGGGAGCGAACGGG